AAAUGGACUCUCAGCAACGGGAUAUCUUG
rnacentral:rRNA from 1 species